UACUCUUAUAUAUUUGUGUUUUUUUUAUCUUUACAGAUUUUAUCCCGCCUGUAUUGUACUUGGGCUGCAGUUUUUGCAUGAUAGGAACAUCACCCAUAGGGAUUUAAAACUAGAAAAUGUAUUACUGGAUAGAGAUGGAUACGCCAAAAUUACUGACUUUGGCAUUAGCAAAGAAGGAAUGAGUUUUACAGACUGAAGCCAAACUCAAUGUGGAACUUUGCCGUAUAUGGCCCCGGAAAUGUUUACACAGUAUAUCCCUACACAAGAUCAGUGGACUGGUGUGGAUUGGGAGUGUGCAUUUAUUUAAUGCGCUUCAGUCAGGUAAGUGCACU